GCCGUAGGGUCCGAGCGUUGUCCGGAGUUACUGGGCGUAAAGGGCGCGUAGGCGGCUCUGUGCGUCACCCGUGAAAGCCCCCGGCUCAACCGGGGAGGGUCGGGUGAAACGGCGGAGCUGGAGGCAGCGAGAGGCUGGUGGAAUUCCCGGAGUAGUGGUGAAAUGCGUAGAGAUCGGGAGGAACACCGGUGGCGAAGGCGGCCAGCUGGCGCUGACCUGACGCUGAGGCGCGAAGGCGUGGGGAGCGAACGGG
rnacentral:rRNA from 1 species